GACGAACGCUGGCGGCGUGCUUAACACAUGCAAGUCGAACGGAAAGGCCCUGCUUUUGUGGGGUGCUCGAGUGGCGAACGGGUGAGUAACACGUGAGUAACCUGCCCUUGACUUUGGGAUAACUUCAGGAAACUGGGGCUAAUACCGGAUAGGAGCUCCUGCUGCAUGGUGGGGGUUGGAAAGUUUCGGCGGUUGGGGAUGGACUCGCGGCUUAUCAGCUUGUUGGUGGGGUAGUGGCUUACCAAGGCUUUGACGGGUAGCCGGCCUGAGAGGGUGACCGGCCACAUUGGGACUGAGAUACGGCACAGACUCCUACGGGAGGCAGCAGUGGGGAAUAUUGCACAAUGGGCGGAGGCCUGAUGCAGAAACGCCGCGUGCGGGAUAACGGCCUUCGGGUUGUAAACCGCUUUCGCCUGUGACGAAGCGUGAGUGACGGUAAUGGGUAAAGAAGCACCGGCUAACUACGUG
rnacentral:rRNA from 1 species